GGGACAGUAGGUUGGUCGUGCCACCGGUACGUACUGGUCUCACUGAUUCCUCCUUCCUGAAGAACCGUAAUGCCAUUAAUUUGGUGUUGCGGGGAAACAGGACUGUUACUUUGACAAAAUUAGAGUGUUUAAAGCAAGCUAACGCUUGAAUACAUUAGCAUGGAAUAAUGAAAUAGGACGAUCGAUCCUAUUUUGUUGGUUUCUAGGAUUGACGUA
rnacentral:rRNA from 1 species